AGCAGAUAGGAGGAGCAAACCAUUCACCUUCCCUACCUUCUCUCUUGCACCUGCUUUCUUAGACCCUAGAUCAUCUCACCAGUGAUUUAGCUUCUGUAACAAGGCAUCAUCAGAACAAUUUUUUAAGGCAGUGAUCUUCUGGGAAUUUAUCAUUCAGAAGAUCCUAGAGAUUAAAACGAAAAUGUAUGAAGAGUCCCGGAAGUUAUCAAAGCUCUGCACCAAGACCACCAGGGAACUCUGCUGAUCACACAAAACUGGCUUUAUGAAACUUGCUGAGCAAGAGAAAGCAGCACGUUGGCAGAAUUGCAGCAUUCUCAAAAA